GACGAACGCUGGCGGCGUGCUUAACACAUGCAAGUCGAACGGAAAGGCCCUGCUUUUGUGGGGUGCUCGAGUGGCGAACGGGUGAGUAACACGUGAGUAACCUGCCCUUGACUUUGGGAUAACUUCAGGAAACUGGGGCUAAUACCGGAUAGGAGCUCCUGCUGCAUGGUGGGGGUUGGAAAGUUUCGGCGGUUGGGGAUGGACUCGCGGCUUAUCAGCUUGUUGGUGGGGUAGUGGCUUACCAAGGCUUUGACGGGUAGCCGGCCUGAGAGGGUGACCGGCCACAUUGGGACUGAGAUACGGCCCAGACUCCUACGGGAGGCAGCAGUGGCGAAUAUUGCACAAUGGGCGGAAGCCUGAUGCAGCAACGCCGCGUGCGGGAUGACGACCUUCGGGUUGUAAACCGCUUUCGCCUGUGACGAAGCGUGAGUGACGGUAAUGGGUAAAGAAGCACCGGCUAACUACGUG
rnacentral:rRNA from 1 species